AGGGCACCACCAGGAGUGGAGCCUGCGGCUUAAUUUGACUCAACACGGGAAAACUCACCCGGCCCGGACACUGUAAGGAUUGACAGACUGAGAGCUCUUUCUUAAUUCGGUGGGUGGUGGUGCAUGGCCGUUCUUAGUUGGUGGAGCGAUUUGUCUGGUUAAUUCCGAUAACGAACGAGACUCUGGCCUAUUAAAUAGACGGUGUAUCUUGAAGUAUACCGCGCUUCUUAGAGGGACAAGCGGCGUCUAGCCGCAUGAAAUAGAGCAAUAACAGGUCUGUGAUGCCCUUAGAUGUCCGGGGCUGCACGCGCGCUACACUGAAAGAAUCAGCGUGCGAUUAGCCUGGUUCGGAAGAAUCGGGUAACCCAAGUAAAUUCUUUCGUGCUUGGGAUAGGGAAUUGCAAUUAUUUUCCAUGAACGAGGAAUUCCAAGUAAGUGCGAGUCAUCAGCUCGCGUUGAUUACGUCCCUGCCCUUUGUACACACCGCCCGUCGCUGCCCGGGACUGAGCCAUUUCGAGA
rnacentral:rRNA from 1 species